rnacentral:rRNA from 1 species
CCCCUAGAUGUUCUGGGCCGCACGCGCGCUACACUGAACAGUUCAACAAGUCUUAACCUUGGCCGAUAGGUCUGGGUAAUCUUUGAACGCUGUUCGUGAUUGGGAUAGACCUUUGCAAUUAUGGGUCUUCAACGAGGAAUUCCUAGUAAACGCAAGUCAUCAGCUUGCAUUGAUUACGUCCCUGCCCUUUGUACACACCGCCCGUCGCACCUACCGAUUGAAUGGUCCGGUGAAAUCUCGGGACGGCGGCUUGGUCGCUUGCGUCCGACUGCUGAAACUUGAUUAAACCCUCUCAUUUAGAGGAAGGUGAAGUCGUAACA